GUCAGAGCAAUCGGUUCAAACGAAUGGGGGGAGACACUCACAAGAAAAACUCAGCAGAUGCGCUGUUGUAAACUGUUGGGUUGUCAAUAAAGUUUUAAAGCGCCCCUCCCUCACCCGCGAAGCUGAGCAUAGCAUCAAGCUAACGUCAGAAGGCAGCAGAGCGGCUGUUAGCACAACGAUAUCAGAGAAUUAUGGAAGAGUUUCGGGUGAAGUCUUGAUUCUUUCCUUGAUGAAAGAGGGCUGUGAGCUAGAAGAGAUUAAAAACUGUUACAGGACCAGUUUUGGCCAGGUUUUCACCUCCCCUGGAGAAGAUCCCGGAGUCUGGAUUUCAACUUCAGAGAACUGAAUGGCGAGCCAGUUUCCUCUAAGACCGCUGUCAGGACGACGCAAGGUUUCAUCUUCAUCCUAAACUCACUGCUACAUGAAGGUCUGGAAGGAUGGCCUCUCUCCCACACGCACUCCAGUUCACAUCAAAGUGCCUCAUCAAUGUGGAAUCUGCAGCUGAAGGAAUUAUUGAUCAGGCUGAGAGCUGCAGUAUUUACUGCAUCCACACACAAAGUUUGGAUUUYUAUUCUUAUUAGGACUGUUCAUAGACUUCCAUUCAUUUCCAUACCCUCAGUUUCACCAUCAG